UACGUAGGGGGCUAGCGUUGUCCGGAAUCAUUGGGCGUAAAGAGCGUGUAGGCGGCCCGGUAAGUCCGCUGUGAAAGUCGGGGGCUCAACCCUCGAAUGCCGGUGGAUACUGUCGGGCUAGAGUACGGAAGAGGCGAGUGGAAUUCCUGGUGUAGCGGUGAAAUGCGCAGAUAUCAGGAGGAACACCGAUUGCGAAGGCAGCUCGCUGGGACGUAACUGACGCUGAGACGCGAAAGCGUGGGGAGCAAACAGG
rnacentral:rRNA from 1 species